UACAUACGUCUAGCUGCAUAACUGGUCGCGGUUAUUUGUGUACGUGUGCCCACUGCAAAUGUAUGUGGAGCGCGAGUGAAUUGAGAUAUUACAACAGUCAUCGAAUCAUUUUUAACGCGUGAUUCUUCGAAAACUCAUCGAUAACCGACAGUUCUAUUACGUUUCUGCGUUUUUCUUGUUUUCGUAGGCGCACCGUUGUGUACGAUGCUUUACAACACGUGUGUGGUAUCGACUUACAAUGGCUGCGGCAAGUAUUUGCACACUAUUGGCUCUAUCGUCAUAUUAAUUAUUUGACCGCGAAAGAUAUUAAAUUUCAUAUCAUUUAGUAGCGUUUUCACACAUUUGCAAAAAUUUAAUAUCGCGGAUAUCAUGACGUAGGAUCUGGUAAAAAAUACUUUAUUGGCAAAUAAAUAUGUGCUGAUACUUUUCGUAGCUACUGUAAAUGGUGGAACAUUUUACGGAACGUUCGCUAUGAUUUAUACGUAUCAUCUACGUAAAACUUUAUGACAUAGAAAAAAGCUUUGUUGUUGUUGGUGAAGAUCAAUUGUUAACAAUCGUAGACAAAUGUUAAUGAAAAGCUCUCGACAGUGUUAAUGAAUGUAAUAAUGAGUGUGAAUUGUCUUGUCUUCUACCAUUCGGUUAAUAAUAGUGUAGAAUGAUUAUCGAAUAAAAAUCGGUUUGUAGAAAGUAGAAAAGAUUGAUGAGAAUCCAGAAGAAAAUAUGCGAUUGGAAUGUAAAAGAAUACAAAAUUUCUCUGUCCAUUAUAGCAAUAACUACGCCUGCUACGUUUUUGCAAUAAAACAGCAAUUAUAAGUCAACUAUAAAUGAUUUAUUUCAUCGUCUAAGUGGAAAUAACAGAAGACAAACUGGAUUUAAAAGACAGCUAAGUUUCUUCAUUUUUGUAUUAUAAGACAUUAAAAUACAGAAAUAAUGACAAUUAUUGUAGUUGCCAGCGUAUGAAGAUGAGGGGAAUCCAUUUUACUUCUCUUCAAAUCCAUAUUACAGAUUACAAAUUUUGUACACUUGCAAAAAUACAUCGCAUUGAGUUUGAAGAAGAUAAAAUUAGAUAAUUUCUCCGAUAAAAUCAAUUGGUUCGUGCUAUCGAUUCUAAGAACAGCGGAUAAUUCGUAAAAAAACGAACUGAAUUCUUUAGAAUUCUGUAUAAGAGUAAAUAGGUAGCCGAGUGAACUCACUUACAUGCUUCAAAAAAAUAUUCGAAAUGUGUUCGGACGAACAAGAAUCGUAUCAGUCAUGGAGAAGUAAAUAUGUGCAAACGAGAGACGACAGCCGGAUGUCAGUGGUUUAUCUAAGGAACUGUUUGCGGAGCACGGAAGAAAGUCAAGGAAAAAUAAAGAUGUGAAAGAAGAAAAUAUUUCAUUUCAAAUUCCGAGUAUUUUCGUACAAGAGCCAUUCUUCAGAAAUAUAAGAGACAUCAUUUCUCAUAUCAUUCGUCACACGAAUGCCUUUCUAAGUCCAAAAUAUUAAUCGCUUAAACGAGUCAUAAUUAAUUCAGUUUUAUUCAAUUCCACACAACUUGUAAAAUCUGCGUUUGCCCGGUUUUCGUACCAAGGUCUGCAAAUUGUGCCAUUUAUUCCACUGUCUUCGCUAAAACUCUCUUCAGCCUGCUUGCACCUUGCCUUCUUCUAUUCUUUUCUAUUCUUUUCUUUUCCAGCUUCUCCACUCAUUCCAUGAUCCUUCUAUCCUGUCUUUUACUCGUCUUUUACUACGUCUUCCGACCUGACACGUCAUUUGGUUUCCUUAUAAUUGCCUGUUAAGUGAAUUAGAUCCUCGAAUUUAUCCUCCUCCUCCUUCUCCUCCUCCCAGUGCCUAUUUCAAUUUUCCAACUCUCCACACUAUGCUCGUGCUAUUAUCUUUUGACCUUCUCCUUAUUUUCUUAGGUAUUCUGGCAGCCCUAUUGUUCACACGUAUUGGUAUCUAUCAUCGCAUUGCUCUGACAUUUAUAAUACCUGAGUCUUAGACUUUAGUCGCUUUAUUACGUAUCGCAGAGUUUCCUUUAUAAUAUAGACGCAUAAGGGGUAACUGAAGAAGAAAAGAGGCGCAUGAGGCACUUUACUGUGAACACGAUACGGGGUGUCUUAAGGUAGUUGAUAAGCUCAGACAAGAAGUUAUUUGUAUACGUACGUAUGCUACAUAAAAAGAACAUUUCUGUUGAUUUAGGCCUGAGUUUUGAGAAAAUCGAGCUCGUGCAAUUAGCACAAUAAGCGAAGUGCCGGUGAUAGCUACCUCGAGCUCGACUUUCUCGAAAACAACAUGUCAAAGGGAGAAAUUUAUUCGACUUAUUUUUGUAUACACGUAGAGUGACGCCCUGUUUGUAUUCCAAGACACCCUAUAUACAAUGCUCCUAUGUUAAAACAUUGAAACCCUGAAUACGGUCACUUUAACCGCUCCUGCUUCCUUCUUUCUCAUUUCGAUUAUUCAUCAAUUUAUUCGACCUAUUUUUGUAUACACGUAGAGUGACACCCUGUUUGUAUUCCAAGACACCCUAUAUACAGUGCUCCUAUGUUAAAACAUUGAAACCCUGAAUACGGUCACUUUAACCACUCCUGCUUCCUUCUUUCUCAUUUCGAUUAUUCAUCAAUUCAUUCGACUUAUUUUUGUAUACACGUAGAGUGACACCCUGUUUGUAUUCCAAGACACCCUAUAUACAGUGCUCCUAUGUUAAAACAUUGAAACCCUGAAUACGGUCACUUUAACCGCUCCUACUUCCUUCUUUCUCAUUAUUCCACACAGUGGCUCCAAGGAAUACUUUAUACAUAUUCUUAUUUUCCAAGCAGCUGUUUUCUCUUAAUCAGGUUAUACAUUCCAGUUUCGUAGCGUUCACUUUUUCCAGUCAUUUACAUUUGUCCUUUACUGUCAUCACUUCAAUGAUAUUCCCUCCAAGUUCUAAAGUACGAAAUAGCUAUCUUCGAUCAAAUUCUUGCACAAAUUCAGAUGCUGAAGAUUCCACCGUAUUUUCAAUCUUCCUUGUGGGAUGAAAAAUUAUUAAUAUUAAAUGUAUGUUAGAAGAAACAUCACGUUAAGGUGAGCUUCUUAAAAAUCUAUAUCUGUUAUCUAUCUGUUAUUUGUUUUGUUUUGUUUUUCAGACGCUAACGCUAUGUUAGCUCGUUUACUGACACUAACCUGAAUUCGAGUUUGUUUAACUUUUUUUCCUAAUGUACAGUCAUCCACAUUUUGUUAUUUCGAAAGGCUCGAGAUUAUAUAGGGUGGGACAGAUAAAGCGUCACAAGCAGUUUUCUUAGAAGGCAUCGCAGAUAUUAAGUGGAAUUUUUCAGUUGUUAAAUGGUGCAGAGGGGCUAGCAUUUUAGACUGCAAGAUAUUGCGGGGGUGAGUUUCUUAAGGGUAGGAAGGAUGCUUUGAAUUUUAAGCUGAUAUCUGUAUGUGGCUAUGUACAAAACUCUUUUAUCAUUCUUCUUCACAAAUAGUAUUUUAUACUAAUAAAUAUAAUAAACAGUCACAUAUUUACUUAACACAAGCUAUUCUUAAUGUAAACAAAUUUUUAGUUUAAUAUAGGGGCAACAUACUGCAUGUAGCCUUUUUGAAGAAAUACAAUACAAAAGAUUUCUUAUGUCUUUAAAUUAAGACAUUUUUACGAAAAUAAUUUAUACAAAAUAUUGUAUAUUUAACAUUGCUAUUUUGAAAAAUAAAUUUUCACUUUUAAGAAACAAAUUUAAAUAAAGAACAGAAUUGUUUCUAAGAAAAUAAUAAUAUCCAUAGUAAACAAUAACACAAUAGAGAUAACACAACGUAAUGGACUGUUUUCUCUGCGAUAAAUAGAAAAUUAAAAAUUCCUAUUGUAUGAAGUAAGAUCUCUGCACAAUAAAUUGGAAGAAGAUAA